CCAAAACCCCAAUGUAGAAAGAUGGGGAGAGUGAAAUCAGAAACAUCCAAGAAUGGACCUUGCUUUCAGAAGAAAUAACAGUUUGCAGUUAGCAUUAUAUGCUUUGGGUAAUUAAUUUCAUAAGUCAAGAAGAAGCUUGAUCAUUGAUAAGAAAAUAAGCCGGAAAAGAAGGAGAAGCUUUAUGUCUAAACUCUCAUUCAUUGAGCAACCACAUAAAAGUAAAGAUUUCAGAGGAGGAGAAAUUCUAAGUGAUGAAAAGGCCCAGAAUAUGCCCUUGGAAAUUAAUGGCUAGAGUGGAGAUGAAGGUUACUGGAGUAUAAGAGAUCAAGAAAUGGAUUGAGAGAGACAGAGCAUGAAUGGGGAGGGGCAGAGAGAGAGGGAGAC